GGUUAAGCGACUAAGCGUACACGGUGGAUGCCCUGGCAGUCAGAGGCGAUGAAGGACGUGCUAAUCUGCGAUAAGCGCCGGUAAGGUGAUAUGAACCGUUAUAACCGGCGAUUUCCGAAUGGGGAAACCCAGUGUGUUUCGACACACUAUCAUUACGUGAAUACAUAGCGUAAUGAAGCGAACCGGGGGAACUGAAACAUCUAAGUACCCCGAGGAAAAGAAAUCAACCGAGAUUCCCCCAGUAGCGGCGAGCGAACGGGGAGGAGCCCAGAGCCUGAAUCAGCAUGUGUGUUAGUGGAAGCGU
rnacentral:rRNA from 1 species